AGAAUAGAUGCAAUUUUCGGAAUAAAUGCAAGAUCAAAAGGUUUUCAGCUACAGACUGAAUCACUAGGAAUUGACCAGCUGCAGGAAAUGAGGCAUCGUCAGUUCUGGCUGCAGAACCACAUUAUUUGCGGCUGAGUUGCUUUUCCGGAUAAUCUUAUUGUUCGUCCUUAAAAGAAUUGUAAUCAUGUGUAAUUCUCUUUGCUGUUUUUUUGUCACUGUCGAAAGAACACGAUCGACUAUUUGCUGUCGAUUGUGCUGGGCUUGGUUCCACUGAAGGAGGAGGAGUGAACAGGGCAGCUGCCCGGUAUUUACCAACAUUGGCAAAAGCAGGGGGUUGUGUUAGUCCAGAACGGAUGACCCGUGUGCUGGUUUGUUAUCUAAUGUUUGGAGCCCUUUGUUUAGCAGUACCAAAGAGAAGAGGCCGCCGUGACAUAUUAACAGAUUUGUUACAUCAAAGAGUGAUUAAAUCCAGUUCGUUGUAAUCGGUGUUUCAGAUUUCUGGGGGAAUAUACAACAUUUUAACUAGAAAAUCGAUGCACGAAGAAAUAAUUAUUAAUCUGUCUUGGAACUGAUUGCGCAUACUAUUUUUUCGAGACCGCCCAGAAAUGGCUGAUUCAUUUCCCCCGCACUAUGCUGUGAAUUAUAAUAGAGCCAGAUUUCAUACACUAAAUUGCUUCCCGAUUUUUCCCUGUGUUUAUAACUUCCAUAACCUUUUCCGAUUUUUAAUAAACUCCAUUUUCAAAAAUAAGCACGGAAAGGGGCGGAUAUAGGUCUCUGGCUACAUGUAUCAGCACAUUGGGUUUAUGGAAAUCACUGUUUCUGAAUAUAUGAAUAUGACUCUUUCAUUCUGGGCCGAAAGAGGAGGAUUACGGUGCGCUCCUUUCAGACUCGGGGUGGAGGGUGGCAAUUCGCUGCACCGUCGAGGGGUGCUGCAUUGUCUUUGGAUCAUAAGGAUGAGAUCUGCUUGUUCAUUUUCACAAGAGAAUAUGCUCAGGUAUAUUUCAAAAAUACAUCAGAUAAACAAUAAUCUGCACCAUCACCACUUAUAAUAGCACCAAUAAAAGUAACCGAUUCUUGUUUAACAUAUCCUUUAUUCUCUUUACAGUCCUCUCUCCAGAGUAAUUCGAACCUUAAAGAACUUUGAACCAUUUCGAUAAGAAAAGAAACCAACGAUAUGCAUAAUUCAAUUGUACUGAUUUUCACAUUUUGCUUGUCAUUAACAGCCUUUCAGUCUUUUUAGGUUCGCACAGACAUUUUAAUCAGGAAAGUAUGAACACAUAAAAACAUAAAAUGCUGGCAGAACUCAGCAGGCCAGACAGCAUCUAUGGGAGGAGGUAGUGACGACGUUUCGGGCCGAAACCCUUCAUCAGGAUAAAUUCAUCAGUUCAACUCUUGACUGUGAGAGAAGGAAGAUGGACCUCCAUUUGAGAACAUAGAAACUGGAAUGGGCUAUUGAAUCUCUGAAGUCCAUUCUGCAGUUCAGAUGCAUCUUGUGUGGUGGAUCAUAUGUGCUCCUUGGCCUCAUAUACCACAUUCCUUCAACGUCAGCAAAGCAAAAGAGCUAGCUAUUGACUACACAUUCCUGUUUACAUUAAUGAUGCAGAGGUCAAAAGGGAUGAGAGCUUCACAUUUUUAUGAGUGGACCAAUCAUGACAAUGCAAUGGCUAGGAAAGUGCACCAGUGCCUCUACUUCUUCAGAAGGAUAAAGACAUUUGGCAUGUCUGCUUUGACCUUCACAAUUUUUCAUAGAUGCACUGUGGAAAGCAAUCUAUCUGCAUGCAUCACAGAUUGGUGUGGCAGCUGCUCUGCAUUAGGCUACAAGGAGCUGCAGAAUGUUGUGGACACAGCUCAACGCAUUACAGAAAGCAAUUUCCCCUCCAUGAAAUUUGCCUGCAUUUUUCACUGCCUCAGUAGAAUAGUCAACAUAAUCAAAGGCCCCACCCACACCAGACAAUCCUUCUUCUACCUCUCUAAUCAGGCAGAAGUUACAGAAGCUUGAAAACACAUACUACCAGGUUUAAGCAAGACACAAAAUGCUGGAAGAACUCAGCAGGUCAGGCAGUAUUGUGGAAAAAACUGCAGUCAACAUUUUGGGCCGAAGCCCUUUGGCAGGACUGGAGAAAAAAAGCUAAGUAGUAGAUUUGAAAGGUGGGGGGAGGGGAGAGAGAAAUGCCAGGCGAUAGGUGAAUAUUGGAGGGGGAAGGAUGAAGCAAAGAGCUGGGAAGUUGAUUGGUGAAAGAGACAGAAAGCCAUGGAAGAAAGAAGAAAGGGGGCGGGGAGGAGCACGAGAGGGAAGUAAUAGGGGGGCAAGGAGAUAACAUGAGAGAGGGACAAGGGGAUGGGAAAUGGUGAAGGGGGGUGGAGGCAUUACUGGAAGUUUGAGAAAUUGUUGUUCAUUCCAUCAGAUUGGAGGCUACCCAAUCGGAAAAUAAGGUGGUGUUCCUCCAACCUAGGUGUGGCCUUAUCCCACCUGCGGAGGAGGCUGUGGAUGGAUGUGUCGGGAUGGGAAUGGGAAGUGGAAUUAAAAUGGGUGGCCACUGCCGCUUAGGCUCAGUCUCCCAAUCUACAUCAGGUUUCACUGAUAUACAACAGGCCACACCAGGAGCACCAAACAUAGUACAUGACCCCAACAGACUCAGAGGUGUCACCUCACCUGGAAGGGCUACCAGGUUUAAGGAUAGCUUCUGUCUCACUGUUAUAAUAGUGGUCCCCCGGUACAUAAGGUGAACUCUUGACCUGACAAUCUACUGCUUCAUGACCUACACUUUACUGUCUGCUUCCAUUCCACUUCCUCUGUAAAUGUAACACUUCAUCUCAGUUCUGUUAUUAUUUUCUCUUGUCCUAAAUCAAUGCACUGUUGUAAUAAAUUGAUCUUUAUUAAUGACA